rnacentral:tRNA from 1 species
UCCCUGGUGGCUCAGACGGUAAAGCGUCUGUCUACAAUGCAGGAGACCCAGGUUCGAUCCCUGGGUCGAGAA